CGUUAAAGCUUUAUUGUUUACCAAAAAAAUACCAUAAACUUAACUUAACCCUUUACUAAUACUGAAUGACUUCAUAUCUUUAUGAAGAACCUUAUGUUAGAACUAGUAACAAGAAGAAGCCCUUCUCCAAAAUGUAAGCAUGAACCAAAAUGAACAAAUCAUUGGUGCUUAAAAUUUUUUAACUACAAGUAACAACUCAUCAAGAAAACCUUACUACCCAACAUGUCAACCUUACACAAGUACAUUUAUGGAAAGAGUAAAAGAAUGGGAAGGAACUCGGCAAAUAACUAACCCCGCCUGUUUACCAAAAACAUCGCCUCCUGCUACUUUAUAGGAGGUCCAGCCUGCCCAGUGAUAAUAUUAAACGGCCGCGGUACCCUAACCGUGCAAAGGUAGCGCAAUCACUUGUUCUUUAAAUGAGGACUAGUAUGAACGGCAUCACGAGGGUUACACUGUCUCCCCACUCUACUCAGUGAAACUAAUCCCCCCGUGAAGAAGCGGGGAUAAAAAUAUAAGACGAGAAGACCCCAUGGAGCUUAAAACUCAGUCUUACCUGCCACCUAAAAAACCUAGAAACCACGCAGUACUAAUGACUAGUUUUCGGUUGGGGUGACCGCGGAGAAAAACAAAUCCUCCACGACGAAAGGACCUAUUCACCUAAUCCAAGAGCUACACCUCUAAGAAUCAACACAUUGACCAAUUGAUCCAAUUUUUUGAUCAACGGACCAAGUUACCCUGGGGAUAACAGCGCAAUCCAUUUCAAGAGCUCAUAUCGACAAAUGGGUUUACGACCUCGAUGUUGGAUCAGGGUAUCCAAGUGGCGCAGCCGCUACUAACGGUUCGUUUGUUCAACGAUUAAA
rnacentral:rRNA from 1 species